rnacentral:rRNA from 1 species
UACGAAGGGGGCUAGCGUUGCUCGGAAUUACUGGGCGUAAAGGGAGCGUAGGCGGACAGUUUAGUCAGAGGGGAAAGCCCAGGGCUCAACCUUGGAAUUGCCUUUGAUACUGACUGUCUUGAGUUUGGGAGAGGUGUGUGGAACUCCGAGUGUAGAGGUGAAAUUCGUAGAUAUUCGGAAGAACACCAGUGGCGAAGGCGACACACUGGCCCAAUACUGACGCUGAGGCUCGAAAGCGUGGGGAGCAAACAGG